rnacentral:rRNA from 1 species
UACAGAGGGUGCAAGCGUUAAUCGGAAUUACUGGGCGUAAAGCGCGUGUAGGUGGUUUGUUAAGUUGGAUGUGAAAUCCCCGGGCUCAACCUGGGACUUGCAGUUGAAACUGGUGAGCUAGAGUAGGGUAGAGGGGUGUGGAAUUCCAGGUGUAGCGGUGAAAUGCGUAGAGAUGUGGAGGAACACCGAUGGCGAAGGCAGCCCCCUGGGUCAAGAUUGACGCUCAUGCACGAAAGCGUGGGGAGCAAACAGG